AUAGGUAUAGCUCAGUGACAGAGUGCAUGCUUAAUAUACAUGAAGUCCUGGGUUCAAUCCCCAGUACCUCCA
rnacentral:tRNA from 1 species